rnacentral:rRNA from 1 species
UUUCGGUAGGUGACCUGCGGAAGGAUCAUUG